rnacentral:misc_RNA from 1 species
ACGGCAACACAAACAUUUAUUUCCGUGGUCAAAGAGAUACGAUACAUAAUUCGCUGAAUUUAAUAUUUUCUAAUAAUUAUGAGACAUUUAAAUAUUAAUUUUAGCUAAACUGAUUCGAAAAAUAACAAACACAAGAGAUGCUACAUGCCGGGCGCUCAAUCGGUAAUUAAGCCGGCGUCGGCGGGCGAAUUCUCAGCUUCCGACGAAGAAUCUCAACUUCAAGUUUACCUGGAGCAACAACUGGAGGAGGAUGUAGCCAGAAUAUUUGAUGAGUCUAUAUAUUCUGAUAUUGAGCUGGUGUGUGGAAAAUUAAAAAUACUAACACAUUCUUGUAUUCUUGAGACUCGCACACGUAAAUUUUAUCACGAACUUAAAAACAUAUUGCAUGUGAAUUUCGGACGCGAUUCAUAUGACGAAAUAUAUUCAUUCAUAAGUGACAUAUAUACUGAAUGUGAUAUACAAGAACAGGAAAAAGAAAUAAUAAGCUAUUUAAGCAAGCAAGUUACGAAACUAGAAUCACUGGCAGAUUGCGUGAAUAAAACGAAAAUAGACCUAGAGGAGGUUGCUGCGUUUGAAAUACCCGAUUGCAGUAUUAGUUCGUACCCUGAAAAAGCGAUAUCCGAAAUAACAGGCUCUAGUCCGAGUACUGAAUUGACAAAAGAAUACUAUGCGCUAGUGCCUAUAGCUGAUAAUUUAUUAGAAAAAGAACUUGACGAACAGGACGCUCUAUCGAAUGCUUUUAUAUCCAUAAAAAAAACUCAAAUUGAAGAUAAAAUCGAAAACAAAGCUUCUCAACCAGUAAAACCUACUUCUUUAUCGCUUUCUAGUCACAUUUCCAAAUCAGACAAACAUUCCGCUUCUUGUGAUAUCACUUGUCCAGUGACAGAUAAUGGAUUAAAAUUCGAAAAGAACCACACACAUAAUCCAAUAACACGCACUAGUCAAGAAACUAAAUCGAAUCAGUAUUUUAUAAAUAGCGAUCACCAUUGCAAGCAUUCAAUUUUUUAUGAGUCCACGAGUGAGAAAAUAUAUGAUAUAGCGUAUUCACCUGACAGUUUAAUAGCUGAUGAUCCAAGCAGUUCAUCUGAUUAUUUGUCUGCAACGUUUACCUGUUCUCCUGUGGCUAGCUGCACUGGCUGCCAUACGCACUUAAAUGUUUACGAUAGCAAUCCUAAAAUGGAUAACAUUAUUACAAUAUCAGAUUCCGGAAUGGAAAACACCGGUAUGCUGGAGAGUUUAAGCAGCCAUAAAGAUGUAACUUUAACGGACAUAUCGUUGACUGAAAGCACGUUGCAUGACUCCGUAGCUGAUGAAGCCAGUAACUCUAAUGAUUCUGCGCACAGUCCGUUGUUAGAAAGGCGAGAUUUUCUAAAACUACAGUGUCGUAAUGCACCCCAGUCAGCUUCGUCCAGUGGAAUUUCUACAGAUAAAGAAAGCUAUCAAACAACCAAGCCUAGUCAGUUUAAAGAACUAAUCAGCGGACGAUCAUCGAAAGAGGAGAAACAAAGACAGAACGAAGAAAUCGUUAUAUUAGAGUCAUCAUCAUUAUCGUCAGAGACUGGUUCAUGGGAAUCUGUUUUUCCACCGAAAGUGUCUGAAAAGAAACAAACUGGUAACUGCUCUAAAACUGAACACGAACUUCUCAGUGAAGAUGCAAAUACGGAAAAUCCAAUAAAUAAAUUUAGUACAGAUAUCCCCAGUGGUACACAAUAUUCAGGCUUAGCGCAGAAAUCUGUAAAGACAACAUCAUGUUUCAUAGACGCUGCGAGUUUAGUUGAAGAAGAAAGUGAUGCACCUCCCCCUGUAUGUACUAAAUCUCACGACCUGACAUUCGACACAACGGUGCCUCAGAGUCGUCCAGUUCCUUGCUCCACUAACAAAAUAGAUAUGAGCCCUAAUGAUUGGUCUGAAAGUAACGAUAACGAUGAUUCCUUAGAACAAACUGAACAAAAGGAUCUUGAUUCAAUCCAGAAAGAUUUGUCUCCGACCAUUUUCGAAAUGACUCCUAUAACCGAAGAUUCUUUAUGUACUAAAGCCUUUGUAGAACCAACGCAAGGCGAAGAAACAGUUGAUGAUAAACAGAGUAAUUUAGAUUCUAUUAGUAAGGAAACUAUUUGUCUGCAAGAAACCUUUAUGACUUCGACGCCUAAUAAUUCUAUUAUGUCCGUAAAAGAUUCUGGAUUCCAUGGGUACAGUGAAGAUGAAGCUCAAUGCAGUUCUAUUAAUAAAGAUUACGACGUUACGAAAAAAAUUAAAGCCCAUAAAUUUUUCGAAUACUCACCUAUAGUCUCGGGUGGCGCGUCCGUAGAAGAUUUCCCUCCACAAAUGCCUGGAAGUAAAACAGGUAGCCCAUCAACAAAACGCAAAAUAGAAAAUAUACCAAUUGUAUCAGGUGGUUACAUCCCAGAAAGAACAGAGGAAGUAAAUCAAGUUACAAGAAGUAAAGUAAAACUAUCGUCUUCGUCAGCUUGGGUGGUCGAUAUGUCCGGUGGAGCGAAAUUAAAUAGUGAAACAUCUAACGUUUCUCAAACAUCGAAGAGACCUAACGAAAAAACUUGUGAAAAUUUAAAGGUCGCCUUGAAUAGUAAUCUCGAGAAUUGCAAUAAAAGUCGAAGUUCAGUGGAUUCGGACAGUAGUGAAAAAUCCAGUCAUAAAUUUUAUAUAGAUUUGGCAAGUUUGCCUGAUCCUUUGCCAUGUAAAAAAAGCGAAGACACUGAUAGUCUAAACGAGAAAAAAAAUAUUUUCACAAUGUACAUAGAUAUAGGUGAAAAUGGAAAACUAAAAGAGAUGCCUCCUAGGCUAUCUUUAAAUACAAAGAAGAACGCCAGUACAUCGUCUAAUGGAAAAUGUGAAGUACAAUCUAAAUCUGUUGUAUCGGAAGAAAGCGACAAACAUAAACCAUUGUCAAACUUAUCGACCUUCGAAAAGUUAGAGUCGCUUUGUAACGACCCAAACAUCAGCAUACUAGAAAUAAUAAAGAUUCCAGAGAAGAAAUCUUCCGAUAUUUCUGAAGUCAAUGAUCUUCCAUCGAUUGAAAUAGUUAAAGAAGAUAAUUCCAAAAUAGAAACGUCCUCAUUACGUUCUAUAACGGCUACAAUUCAAGAGGAGGUCGUUUGUGGAGACGAAAUAAAUGAUUCAUCAGAUCUGUUCGUCAAACUAUCUGAUUUGGAUAAACCCGUAACAAGAAUGGACAUUGAUAUACCAGUUACGAAGAAAACACUAUCUGCUUCUGUAAGUGAAGAUAAGACGAGAGAUUCUCGAAUGACCAGAUCGAUUCCCGAUAACAAUUGGACCAAUCAAACACUCUCGGUUAAUUCAAGAUCUAUUGACAUAAUUAGUUCCUUUCAUUCCGAAAACGCUUUAAGUCUGAACCGAUUGUUUCCUCAUUUGAAGAAUGAAUUCAGUAGAAGCGUGCCUGUUUCGCUGUCGAGUCGGACGCGGUCUCCUUUGCGGCUAGGGACUCCAUCGAGCACCUUGGAGGCUCUCGAUCAAACAUCCGACACGUCCGAAGUCAGUAGCGUACAGAGUAGUAUGUGUCGUUCAGUCGUCGAGAACAGUACGACGGAGGAAAGCUGUCAAACUUCCAGUUUAAUAGGUAGCUGCCAGUCUCGGCUCGGUCAGGACUUGUUACGGAUGUUUCUAGAAGAGAUAGCGCCUGAUGUGGUAGUCGAGGUGUCCGGGAAAAGAAUCAAAGCACACAAAUGUAUUUUAUCAUCUAGAUGUCAAUUCUUUGCCGGAAUACUUAGUGGUGGAUGGGUUGAGAGCGCUGGAAACGUCAUAGCAUUGCCAUCCUUCUCAUACAAUGUGGUACAUUUCGCUAUGUGUCACAUAUACUCGGGCCUGUCGGCUAUACCAGACACGAUUAGCAUCCUGGAACUAGCCACCCUUGCGGACAUGCUGGGCCUCGAAGGACUCAAAGAAGCUAUAAUGUUUACUCUGAAAACUAAAUACUGUCAUCAUUUCCACAGGCCGUGUCCAGUGUGCGUUGCCGGAGUUCUAGAAUGUUUUCCACUAUCAUCGGCCUAUGGACUCGACGAUCUGUAUCGCAAGUGCUUGAGGUGGAUUACGAAGUACUUCAUCAAGGUCUGGCCGACGAAGGCCUUUGCUACGUUACCAUCGGAGUUGAUCGAGAAAUGCUAUCAACAGCACGUUGUAAAUUUGAGCACAGAUAAUCUCGUCGACACGGUUUAUGGUUGCAGCGCGAUAGUGGCUUCCUUGCAAAACAUAAGGUGGGCGGAGACGGUGGCUCGUUUGUGUCGUCGAUUAGUGAACGCGGCCGCUCAUUUCGCUGCUCCUCGACUAGUUGCGGUACUCCAAGACAUCGCCAAUAUGGCUCCGGACGCUCCACCGCCCGCGAAGCAAGCUCUGAUGGACUGCAUCGCCGCCGCUAUAGAAUGGGCGCCGCCGGACGAGGGAUGCCGCGCCUAUGCUCUUCUGUCUGAUUUGGUCCGAGACAUCAAACUGCACAGCUCGGGCUCGAACAAUCUCCUUCACAGCCACGCGGCCAAUUGGCGUAUGCAAUGUGAAGGCGCAUUAGUGCGAGCCGCUCCACGCGUCGUCGGUACUCAAGCCUUCCAAGACCUGCCCACGGACCUGCGCAGGAGAUUACGCGAACUCGGUUGUAUUAUGUACGGAACGCAGGCCAUACCCGUGACGACUUCACCGUACCACGAACGCAAGAGUCGGAGUACGUAUCACAACAAGGCCAGUAAGACGCAUAACACGAAGACGAGUCGCAGUUUAGAUAUUGAUCACGUCCGAGCAUCGUUCGUACCGUACGCUCCAAAACCGGCGACGCAUAUCAGUUCCGUCGAUAUACUGAAGAACGUUCCCGAUUUGAAAGAUGCGAAAAAAUUAACUACCCGCACCAAACCGCCGAAGGUGAGGACCACGAAGGCACAAGAGGAACGAGCCAAAUACAAUAUGACGAAAAAUAUUCAAUCGGUGAACCAGGUGAACGGUAAGACCGGACAUCCGCCGAUACGGACGUUCGAAAACACGAAACCGAGAUACCUAGAGCCGCGCCCGUGUAAAGAAAACGAUAAAAAAACGACAGCGCCGAACAAACUGGUCCCUAAAAUGGUAUCGUCCAGCGAAUCGUCCCGGAACUCUAGUCCGAUCCAAGUCAGGAAUCUACGCACAACUCGAAUGAAGACCCGACAGGGGCUCGAAGUUAAAACGCACGCGAUGUCGCAGGACAGCUUGGCGACCUCGUCACGACCGCGCACCGCCGAACCAUCCACAGACUCCCUGAGCGAGUCGCAAAAUAGCAACAAAUACGCCACCUACACCAAGAUUAAGCACUCCAAGGGAUCUAUUGAAUAAACAUUGCAAACAAUUCGUCAGAACACUCGCCGAGACGCAGUAUGUUCCACGUGAAGUGCUCUGAAGAAUUGUUUUAGCUAUCAAAUCAAGAUGUCAUAAUGUUACGCAACCUACUAUUAACACGCAAUGCAAGAUAAAAACGAAAAUCCCCGUUUCGCUGAAUCAAAACUACAGGGCGAUUAACACU